UACGUAGGGUGCGAGCGUUAUUCGGAAUUACUGGGCGUAAAGCGUGCGCAGGCGGCUUUGCAAGACAGAUGUGAAAUCCCCGGGCUCAACCUGGGAACUGCGUUUGUGACUGCAAGGCUAGAGUACGGCAGAGGGGGAUGGAAUUUCGCGUGUAGCAGUGAAAUGCGUAGAUAUGCGGAGGAACACCAAUGGCGAAAGCAAUCCCCUGGGCCUGUACUGACGCUCAUGCACGAAAGCUUGGGGAGCAAACAGG
rnacentral:rRNA from 1 species